GCUUAGCUCAGUUGGUAGAGCAAUGGACUGUUAAUCCAUGUGUCGCAGGUUCAAAACCUGCAGC
rnacentral:tRNA from 1 species